GCGUUCGUAGCUCAAUUGGCAGAGCAGCUGACUCUUAAUCAGCGGGUUGGAGGUUCGAUUCCUCCCGAGCGCACCA
rnacentral:tRNA from 1 species